GUGGAAUUGGCUAGCACCGGUCAUCGGAGAAGGUUUGUUCGUGUGGACUGAGUAGAUGCAUCGCUACUUUGCUUUGCUCGUGAUCAGAAACAGUUUCUACUUCAAAGGUUCUGCACUUCAAGAGGUAAACACAUAAACUUGUGGUUUUGUGUUCUUUGAUUUGUGAUUAAUGGUUUAAUCAAGAUCCGUUCAUCGGGAUUGUUCCGCU
rnacentral:lncRNA from 1 species